UUAUUGUUGUUGUUGUUGAUCACAUUGCACACAGUUAGGAGGCCUAGCUGUUUUUCUCUCCCCUUCAUCUCAAGUGGAUAAACCUGUGAGUUUCUUUGCCCUUGCAGUUCCAAAAAAAAACAGAGAAACUAUAUUCUCCUCGGGUUUGAACAAAGGUUAAAUGGAGGGAGGCGAUAUCCAUUGUUGGGACCAAUUAAUCCCAGAUGCACUUGCGUUAAUCUUCAACAACUUAUCUCUGGAGGAGAAACUAACUGUGAUUCCAAGGAUUUGCAAAUCAUGGAGAAAAGCAGUGAUGGGGCCUCUCUGUUGGCAAGAGAUCGACAUUGAGGAGUGGUGCUAUGGCCGCCAGCCUGAGCUACUGGAUCAAAUGCUUCAAAUGCUGAUUGGAAUCUCUGGUUCUCCUCGGAAGCUCUGUGUCGUUGGUCUAUCCAACGAUGCCAUAUUCUCCUUAAUCGCAGACCAUGCUGGUUCCCUUCAGACCUUGCAGAUUCCAGGAAGCAAAAUAAGUGAUUCAAUAGUGGAAGAGGUUGCAGGGAGAAUGUCAGCCAUCACUUUCUUGGACCUGAGCUACUGUGAAAACAUUGGAGCCCGAGCUCUUAAAGCAUUUGGUAGUAACUGUAGAUUGCUUUCGAGCUUGAGAAGGAAUAUGCACUCAUCAACUUGGAUCGUCAACAACGAUGAAGCCCAUGCCAUUGCAACUACAAUGCCCGAGCUCAAGCACCUUGAAAUAGGCAACAUGGACCUCACAACCGAAGGAGUCCUCGACAUUCUCUCUGGCUGCCAGAAGCUUGGAUACUUGGAUGUGAGAGGCUGUUGGCGUGAGAGACUUGAUGGUAAGUUCCUCAAUGAGAAAUACUCAGGGUUGAAGGUGCGGCGUACUUUUGAUGAUGUCCCGGAGGAUAUUGAUUGGGACAGUUUCAAUUUCAAAGAGUAUUGGGACGACUACCAAGAGGAGCUUGAGGAGCUGAUGGCUGAAUGUUUAAUGGAGUUGGGUGCUGAUGAUGGUGCAUGAUCCUUUGACUCAUUUGAGUUUGAAGCUUUCAGCAGUUACCAGAGUGUGUGAACUCAUCUUUUAACUGGUGUUGUUAUUUACUAUUGUUUGCCUGCCAACCUUGGCUAUUUCAGUCGCUAGCCACCACCAAGAAAAAAAUCAAUUUUCACUUGAACUGAAAUUGAAUUAAGGACGAAGAAGAUAGGGGACCCAAUACAAAAAAUUAACCACUCAAGCUGGAAUCGAAUUAAGAACAGAAGAAGAUAAAGAGGACCCAAUACAGAAAACAACCACUCAAAACAUAGACUUGAAAAUGUGCAGGGAAGCAAGGACAUAAGCCUGCAACUCUCAAGCAUGAAGGUCCAGUGGAGUUCAUAACCGAAAAGGAGAAGAAGGCCACAGCUUGCAGAACCUUGUUGGUGGAGUGGACGAUUUUGGUCAAUCCAUACCUUGGCUCCACUUUCCCGUGUGUGUGAGCAUAGGAUACAUUAGGAGGUAGUGUUUUUAACCCUUUUUUUUAUUUAAGGAGCAAGAACCCUAUCAGUCUCGAGUAGACAACUCCAGCACGAAGGGUCAAUGGGAGGGCACAUAGGAGCAUCUUCAACAUACAGGGUGGGGAGUAACAUGGUCCUUUCACAUCUGUUUGUGUUUGGGCAUAGACAACACUAGAGUGACUAGACGAGCAAGGUUCUUUUUCCAUUUCAUUUAUUCUUCAUAUAUUUAUUUUCUUCUUUAAUUAAUCAUCUUUGAUUCAGCCAUCUAAGGUAAGCAAGUUCACCUAGACUCAUAUUAGAGUAUCGUGAUGGACGCACUUCCUUCAGAGAGAUCGAUGAAUUUAUAUGAAAGCCACAAUCAAAUGAUUGCCACUUGGUUUGGAAAGUAGUACUCUUGGUCUUAUGUGUACAUGCUACAAAAUAUAAAAAUUUAUGAACACUAGGAUAACCUAGUGGUGGU